UACGAAGGAUUCGAGCGUUAUCCGGAUUUAUUGGGUUUAAAGGGUGCGUAGGUGGAUUGAUAAGUCAGUGGUGAAAGCCCGAAGCUCAACUUCGGAACUGCCAUUGAUACUGUCAAUCUUGAGUACAGUUGAGGUGGGCGGAAUGUGUCAUGUAGCGGUGAAAUGCUUAGAUAUGACACAGAACACCGAUUGCGAAGGCAGCUCACUAAGCUGUAACUGACGCUGAGGCACGAAAGCGUGGGGAGCAAACAGG
rnacentral:rRNA from 1 species